GUACUUGCUUCAGCAGCACAUAUACUAGAACUGGACCAAUGCAAAGAAGAUGAGCAUGGCCCCUGCGGAAAGAUGACACACAAAUUAGUGAAACUUCUUUUUUUUUU
ensembl:snRNA U6 U6 spliceosomal RNA